AUCAUGGCUCAGGAUGAACGCUAGCUACAGGCUUAACACAUGCAAGUCGAGGGGCAGCGGGAAGUUAGCUUGCUAACUUGCCGGCGACCGGCGCACGGGUGAGUAACGCGUAUCCAACCUUCCCCUUAGUAGGGCAUAGCCCGUAGAAAUGCGGAUUAAUACCCUAUGUUAUUCGUCGAGGACAUCUGAAGUGAAUCAAAGGUUUACCGCUAAGGGAUGGGGAUGCGUCUGAUUAGGCAGCAGGCGGGGUAACGGCCCACCUGGCCGACGAUCAGUAGGGGUUCUGAGAGGAAGGUCCCCCACAUUGGAACUGAGACGCGGUCCAAACUCCUACGGGAGGCAGCAGUGAGGAAUAUUGGUCAAUGGUCGAGAGACUGAACCAGCCAAGUAAGCGUGCAGGACGACGGCCCUAUGGGUUGUAAACUGCUUUUAUGCGGGGAUAAAGUGAGGGACGUGUCCCUUUUUGUAGGUACCGCAUGAAUAAGGACCGGCUAAUUCCGUGCCAGCAGCGGC
rnacentral:rRNA from 1 species